rnacentral:rRNA from 1 species
AUUGAACGCUGGCGGCAUGCCUUACACAUGCAAGUCGAACGGUAACAGGUCUUCGGAUGCUGACGAGUGGCGAACGGGUGAGUAAUCCAUCGGAACGUGCCCGAGAGGGGGGGAUAACGAGGCGAAAGCUUUGCUAAUACCGCAUACGAUCUCAGGCUGAAAGCAGGGGACCGCAAGGCCUUGCGCUCACGGAGCGGCCGAUGGCAGAUUAGGUAGUUGGUGGGAUAAAAGCUUACCAAGCCGACGAUCUGUAGAUGGUCUGAGAGGACGACCAGCCACACGGGGACGGAGACACGGCCCAGACUCCUACGGGGGGCAGCAGUGGGGAAUUUUGGACAAUGGGCGCAAGCCUGAUCCAGCCAUGCCGCGUGCAGGAUGAAGGCCUUCGGGUUGUAAACUGCUUUUGUACGGAACGAAAAGACUCUGGUUAAUACCUGGGGUCCAUGACGGUACCGUAAGAAUAAGCACCGGCUAACUACGUGCCAGCAGCCGCCGUAAUAC